rnacentral:lncRNA from 12 species
GGUUGAUAUCCCUGAAGGGGCGUGUCUGCGACCAACAUCCAUCAUUGGAAUCGGCUCCAAUGACGCCAGUCUGGAAACUGUUGCUGUUGACGCGCAGCGGUGCGUUUCUCGGGCGCGUUUGGGGAUGUGAGGGAUUGACGCGCGUCCAGAUCGGCGGAACGCGUGAGUACACGGCUCGGUGCAGGUGUGUGUGUGUGUGUGUGAUGGUCAUCAUCAAGCUCAAAGGCGCUCAGUGAUCCGCUCCUUCCCAUGAUUCCACACCAGGCCGCCCCAUGCCAGCCCGUAACCACGACGACCACUCGCCCCCGUGAGCUCCUCCUCUGUCGCCCGGCGGCUGUUUGACUGGAUGAGGAACCCGGCCUCCAGUGAUGUGAUGCACAGGUUUGAGGUUCUUGGGAUUGUGGGGGAAGGAGCUUACGGUGUCGUCCUGAAGUGCAGACACAAGGUAAGAUCUCAGACACACAAGUUCAGAUCAUGCCCACAAAACACAAUUCAGCUCAUUUGCAGCCUAAAUGGCUUAAAAAGUGUGUGUGUUCAAAAAAAGUGGGGCCUGGAAAGCAUAUAAGUCCAUACUAAUUAUUAAUUUUGAAAGAAAGUAGCAUGCAGUAAGCAUGCAUCGCAAAUUAUAUACACAUAUAGUAUAACACAAAGCACACUCUGCAAUGAUUUUCUGUAUGCAUGGAAAUGUACGUAUGUGCAAAAUAUGCAACGUAUCCCAUAAUGCAUUGCACUCAUAACAGAGUGCUUGUGUGACAUACCGUAUAAUGUUGCAUUUUACAGUUUGAAAUGUUUACCGUUCCCUAAUGCAUAUUGUUUCACAUAUUAAUUUUUUAUAAUUAGCACACUUUAGUGUUUUAUGUAUUCUCUGUCAUUAAAAAAAAAAAAAAGUCAUUAAAAUGCAUAGAAAAAACAUUUACUUCAAGCUAAAUUGCAUUAGAUGCAUUCACAAAAUUGAU